rnacentral:tRNA from 1 species
GUCAGGAUGGCCGAGCGGUCAAAAGCGCCAGACUCAAGGUUUAAUUCCUUCUCAUAAAUACAUGGGAGAGUGUUCAGGAAUCCGAAUGGAGGCGUGGGUUCGAAUCCCACUUCUGACA